rnacentral:rRNA from 1 species
AGUGUAGGCGGUCAAGCAAGUCAGAGGUGAAAGGCAUCGGCUCAACCGAUGUAAGCCUUUGAAACUGUUUGACUUGAGUGCAGGAGAGGUAAGUGGAAUUCCUAGUGUAGCGGUGAAAUGCGUAGAUAUUAGGAGGAACACCAGUGGCGAAGGCGAUUUACUGGACUGUAACUGACGCUGAGGCUCGAAAGCGUGGGGAGCGAACA